rnacentral:rRNA from 1 species
AGGCGCCACUAAAAGAUGAGGGUGCGGAACAUUAGUUAGUUGGUGAGGUAAUGGCCCACCAAGACUAUGAUGUUUAGCCGGGUCGAGAGACUGAACGGCCACAUUGGGACUGAGAUACGGCCCAAACUCCUACGGGAGGCAGCAGUAGGGAAUAUUCCACAAUGAGCGAAAGCUUGAUGGAGCGACACAGCGUGCACGAUGAAGGUCUUCGGAUUGUAAAGUGCUGUUAUAAGGGAAGAACAUUUGCAAUAGGAAAUGAUUGCAGACUGACGGUACCCA